ACCAUGUCCCCACUAGACACAGGUACCAACACACACCAUGUCCCCACUAGACACAGGUACCAACACACACCAUGUCCCCACUAGACACAGGUAGGUACCAACACACACCAUGUCCCCACUAGACACAGGUACCAACACACACCAUGUCCCCACUAGACACAGGUACCAACACACACCAUGUCCCCUCUAGACACAGGUACCAACACACACCAUGUCCCCACUAGAUACAGGUACCGACACACACCAUGUCCCCACUAGACACAGGUACCAACACACACCAUGUCCCCACUAGACACAGGUACCGACACACACCAUGUCCCCACUAGACACAGGUACCAACACACACCAUGUCCCCACUAGACACAGGUACCAACACACACCAUGUCCCCACUAGACACAGGUAGGUACCAACACACACCAUGUCCCCACUAGACACAGGUAGGUACCAACACACACCAUGUCCCCACUAGACACAGGUACCAACACACACCAUGUCCCCACUAGAAACAGGUACCAACACACACCAUGUCCCCUCUAGACACAGGUAGGUACCAACACACACCAUGUCCCCACUAGACACAGGUACCAACACACACCAUGUCCCCAAUAGACACAGGUACCAACACACACCAUGUCCCCAAUAGACACAGGUACCAACACACACCAUGUCCCCUCUAGACACAGGUAGGUACCAACACACACCAUGUCCCCACUAGACACAGGUACCAACACACACCAUGUCCCCAAUAGACACAGGUACCAACACACACCAUGUCCCCAAUAGACACAGGUACCGACACACACCAUGUCCCCAAUAGACACAGGUACCGACACACACCAUGUCCCCACUAGACACAGGUACCAACACACACCAUGUCCCCACUAGACACAGGUACCAACACACACCAUGUCCCCACUAGACACAGGUACCAACACACACCAUGUCCCCACUAGACACAGGUACCAACACACACCAUGUCCCCUCUAGACACAGGUACCAACACACACCAUGUCCCCACUAGACACAGGUAGGUACCAACACACACCAUGUCCCCACUAGACACAGGUACCAACACACACCAUGUCCCCACUAGACACAGGUAGGUACCAACACACACCAUGUCCCCACUAGACACAGGUACCAACACACACCAUGUCCCCACUAGACACAGGUAGGUACCAACACACACCAUGUCCCCACUAGACACAGGUAGGUACCAACACACACCAUGUCCCCACUAGACACAGGUACCAACACACACCAUGUCCCCACUAGAAACAGGUACCAACACACACCAUGUCCCCUCUAGACACAGGUAGGUACCAACACACACCAUGUCCCCACUAGACACAGGUACCAACACACACCAUGUCCCCAAUAGACACAGGUACCGACACACACCAUGUCCCCAAUAGACACAGGUACCGACACACACCAUGUCCCCACUAGACACAGGUACCGACACACACCAUGUCCCCACUAGACACAGGUAGGUACCAACACACACCAUGUCCCCACUAGACACAGGUAGGUACCAACACACACCAUGUCCCCACUAGACACAGGUAGGUACCAACACACACCAUGUCCCCACUAGACACAGGUACCAACACACACCAUGUCCCCACUAGAAACAGGUACCAACACACACCAUGUCCCCUCUAGACACAGGUAGGUACCAACACACACCAUGUCCCCACUAGACACAGGUACCAACACACACCAUGUCCCCAAUAGACACAGGUACCGACACACACCAUGUCCCCAAUAGACACAGGUACCGACACACACCAUGUCCCCACUAGACACAGGUACCGACACACACCAUGUCCCCACUAGACACAGGUACCAACACACACCAUGUCCCCACUAGACACAGGUACCAACACACACCAUGUCCCCACUAGACACAGGUACCAACACACACCAUGUCCCCUCUAGACACAGGUACCAACACACACCAUGUCCCCACUAGACACAGGUAGGUACCAACACACACCAUGUCCCCACUAGACACAGGUACCAACACACACCAUGUCCCCUCUAGACACAGGUACCAACACACACCAUGUCCCCACUAGACACAGGUAGGUACCAACACACACCAUGUCCCCACUAGACACAGGUACCAACACACACCAUGUCCCCACUAGACACAGGUAGGUACCAACACACACCAUGUCCCCACUAGACACAGGUACCAACACACACCAUGUCCCCUCUAGACACAGGUAGGUACCAACACACACCAUGUCCCCAAUAGACACAGGUACCAACACACACCAUGUCCCCAAUAGACACAGGUACCGACACACACCAUGUCCCCAAUAGACACAGGUACCAACACACACCAUGUCCCCAAUAGACACAGGUACCGACACACACCAUGUCCCCAAUAGACACAGGUACCGACACACACCAUGUCCCCAAUAGACACAGGUACCAACACACACCAUGUCCCCACUAGACACAGGUACCAACACACACCAUGUCCCCACUAGACACAGGUACCAACACACACCAUGUCCCCUCUAGACACAGGUACCAACACACACCAUGUCCCCACUAGACACAGGUAGGUACCAACACACACCAUGUCCCCACUAGACACAGGUACCAACACACACCAUGUCCCCACUAGACACAGGUAGGUACCAACACACACCAUGUCCCCACUAGACACAGGUACCAACACACACCAUGUCCCCACUAGACACAGGUAGGUACCAACACACACCAUGUCCCCACUAGACACAGGUACCAACACACACCAUGUCCCCUCUAGACACAGGUAGGUACCAACACACACCAUGUCCCCAAUAGACACAGGUACCAACACACACCAUGUCCCCAAUAGACACAGGUACCGACACACACCAUGUCCCCACUAGACACAGGUACCAACACACAUCAUGUCCCCACUAGACACAGGUACCAACACACACCAUGUCCCCACUAGACACAGGUACCAACACACACCAUGUCCCCACUAGACACAGGUACCAACACACACCAUGUCCCCACUAGACACAGGUACCAACACACACCAUGUCCCCACUAGACACAGGUAGGUACCAACACACACCAUGUCCCCACUAGACACAGGUAGGUACCAACACACACCAUGUCCCCACUAGACACAGGUACCAACACACACCAUGUCCCCACUAGACACAGGUACCAACACACACCAUGUCCCCACUAGACACAGGUAGGUACCAACACACACCAUGUCCCCACUAGACACAGGUAGGUACCAACACACACCAUGUCCCCACUAGACACAGGUACCAACACACACCAUAUCCCCACUCGACACAGGUACCAACACACACCAUGUCCCCUCUAGACACAGGUAGGUACCAACACACACCAUAUCCCCACUAGACACAGGUACCAACAUACACCAUGUCCCCACUAGACACAGGUAGGUACCGACACACACCAUGUCCCCACUAGACACAGGUAGGUACCAACACACACCAUGUCCCCACUAGACACAGGUAGGUACCAACACACACCAUGUCCCCUCUAGACACAGGUACCAACACACACCAUGUCCCCACUAGACACAGGUAGGUACCAACACACACCAUGUCCCCACUAGACACAGGUACCAACACACACCAUGUCCCCUCUAGACACAGGUAGGUUCCAACACACACCAUGUCCCCUCUAGACACAGGUACCAACACACACCAUGUCCCCUCUAGACACAGGUAGGUACCAACACACACCAUGUCCCCUCUAGACACAGGUAGGUACCAACACACACCAUGUCCCCACUAGACACAGGUACCAAGACACACCAUGUCCCCUCUAGACACAGGUAGGUACCAACACACACCAUGUCCCCACUAGACACAGGUAGGUACCAACACACACCAUGUCCCCACUAGACACAGGUACCAACACACACCAUGUCCCCUCUAGACACAGGUAGGUUCCAACACACACCAUGUCCCCUCUAGACACAGGUACCAACACACACCAUGUCCCCAAUAGACACAGGUACCGACACACACCAUGUCCCCACUAGACACAGGUACCAACACACAUCAUGUCCCCACUAGACACAGGUACCAACACACACCAUGUCCCCACUAGACACAGGUACCAACACACACCAUGUCCCCACUAGACACAGGUACCAACACACACCAUGUCCCCACUAGACACAGGUACCAACACACACCAUGUCCCCACUAGACACAGGUAGGUACCAACACACACCAUGUCCCCACUAGACACAGGUAGGUACCAACACACACCAUGUCCCCACUAGACACAGGUACCAACACACACCAUGUCCCCACUAGACACAGGUACCAACACACACCAUGUCCCCACUAGACACAGGUAGGUACCAACACACACCAUGUCCCCACUAGACACAGGUAGGUACCAACACACACCAUGUCCCCACUAGACACAGGUACCAACACACACCAUAUCCCCACUCGACACAGGUACCAACACACACCAUGUCCCCUCUAGACACAGGUAGGUACCAACACACACCAUAUCCCCACUAGACACAGGUACCAACAUACACCAUGUCCCCACUAGACACAGGUAGGUACCGACACACACCAUGUCCCCACUAGACACAGGUAGGUACCAACACACACCAUGUCCCCACUAGACACAGGUAGGUACCAACACACACCAUGUCCCCUCUAGACACAGGUACCAACACACACCAUGUCCCCACUAGACACAGGUAGGUACCAACACACACCAUGUCCCCACUAGACACAGGUACCAACACACACCAUGUCCCCUCUAGACACAGGUAGGUUCCAACACACACCAUGUCCCCUCUAGACACAGGUACCAACACACACCAUGUCCCCUCUAGACACAGGUAGGUACCAACACACACCAUGUCCCCUCUAGACACAGGUAGGUACCAACACACACCAUGUCCCCACUAGACACAGGUACCAAGACACACCAUGUCCCCUCUAGACACAGGUAGGUACCAACACACACCAUGUCCCCACUAGACACAGGUAGGUACCAACACACACCAUGUCCCCACUAGACACAGGUACCAACACACACCAUGUCCCCUCUAGACACAGGUAGGUACCAACACACACCAUGUCCCCACUAGACACAGGUACCAAGACACACCAUGUCCCCUCUAGACACAGGUAGGUACCAACACACACCAUGUCCCCACUAGACACAGGUAGGUACCAACACACACCAUGUCCCCUCUAGACACAGGUAGGUACCAACACACACCAUGUCCCCACUAGACACAGGUACCAACACACACCAUGUCCCCACUAGACACAGGUACCAACACACACCAUGUCCCCACUAGACACAGGUACCAGCACACACCAUGUCCCCACUAGACACAGGUACCAACACACACCAUGUCCCCACUAGACACAGGUAGGUACCAACACACACCAUGUCCCCACUAGACACAGGUACCGACACACACCAUGUCCCCACUAGACACAGGUACCAACACACACCAUGUCCCCACUAGACACAGGUAGGUACCAACACACACCAUGUCCCCUCUAGACACAGGUACCAACACACACCAUGUCCCCACUAGACACAGGUACCAACACACACCAUGUCCCCACUAGACACAGGUAGGUACCAACACACACCAUGUCCCCACUAGACACAGGUACCAACACACACCAUGUCCCCUCUAGACACAGGUACCAACACACACCAUGUCCCCACUAGACACAGGUACCAACACACACCAUGUCCCCACUAGACACAGGUAGGUACCAACACACACCAUGUCCCCACUAGACACAGGUACCAACACACACCAUGUCCCCACUAGACACAGGUACCAACACACACCAUAUCCCCACUCGACACAGGUACCAACACACACCAUGCCCCCACUAGACACAGGUACCAACACACACCAUGUCCCCACUAGACACAGGUACCGACACACACCAUGCCCCCUCUAGACACAGGUACCAACACACACCAUGUCCCCACUAGACACAGGUACCAACACACACCAUGUCCCCACUAGACACAGGUACCAACACACACCAUGUCCCCACUAGACACAGGUACCAACACACACCAUGUCCCCACUAGACACAGGUACCAACACACACCAUAUCACCACUAGACACAGGUAGGUACCAACACACACCAUGUCCCCACUAGACACAGGUAGGUACCAACACACACCAUGUCCCCACUAGACACAGGUAGGUACCGACACACACCAUGUCCCCACUAGACACAGGUACCAACACACACCAUGUCCCCACUAGACACAGGUACCAACACACACCAUGCCCCCUCUAGACACAGGUACCAGCACACACCAUGUCCCCACUAGACACAGGUACCAACACACAUCAUGUCCCCACUAGACACAGGUACCAACACACACCAUGUCCCCACUAGACACAGGUACCAACACACACCAUGUCCCCACUAGACACAGGUAGGUACCAACACACACCAUGUCCCCACUAGACACAGGUACCAACACACACCAUGUCCCCACUAGACACAGGUACCAACACACACCAUAUCCCCACUCGACACAGGUAGGUACCAACACACACCAUGUCCCCACUAGACACAGGUACCGACACACACCAUGUCCCCACUAGACACAGGUAGGUACCAACACACACCAUGUCCCCACUAGACACAGGUACCAACACACACCAUGUCCCCACUAGACACAGGUAGGUACCAACACACACCAUGUCCCCACUAGACACAGGUAGGUACCAACACACACCAUGUCCCCACUAGACACAGGUAGGUACCAACACACACCAUGUCCCCGCUAGACACAGGUACCAACACACACCAUGUCCCCACUCGACACAGGUAGGUACCAACACACACCAUGUCCCCACUCGACACAGGUAGGUACCAACACACACCAUGUCCCCACUAGACACAGGUACCGACACACACCAUGUCCCCACUAGACACAGGUAGGUACCAACACACACCAUGUCCCCACUAGACACAGGUACCAACACACACCAUGUCCCCACUAGACACAGGUAGGUACCAACACACACCAUGUCCCCACUAGACACAGGUAGGUACCAACACACACCAUGUCCCCACUAGACACAGGUAGGUACCAACACACACCAUGUCCCCGCUAGACACAGGUACCAACACACACCAUGUCCCCACUAGACACAGGUACCAACACACACCAUGUCCCCUCUAGACACAGGUAGGUACCAGCACACACCAUGUCCCCACUAGACACAGGUACCAACACACAUCAUGUCCCCACUAGACACAGGUACCAACACACACCAUGUCCCCUCUAGACACAGGUAGGUACCAACACACACCAUGUCCCCACUAGACACAGGUAGGUACCAACACACACCAUGUCCCCACUAGACACAGGUAGGUACCAACACACACCAUGUCCCCACUAGACACAGGUACCAACACACACCAUGUCCCCACUAGACACAGGUACCAACACACACCAUGUCCCCACUAGACACAGGUACCAACACACACCAUGUCCCCACUAGACACAGGUACCAACACACACCAUGUCCCCAAUAGACACAGGUACCAACACACACCAUGUCCCCUCUAGACACAGGUAGGUACCAGCACACACCAUGUCCCCAAUAGACACAGGUACCAACACACACCAUGUCCCCUCUAGACACAGGUAGGUACCAGCACACACCAUGUCCCCAAUAGACACAGGUACCAACACACACCAUGUCCCCUCUAGACACAGGUAGGUACCAGCACACACCAUGUCCCCACUAGACACAGGUAGGUACCAACACACACCAUGUCCCCACUAGACACAGGUACCGACACACACCAUGUCCCCACUAGACACAGGUAGGUACCAACACACACCAUGUCCCCACUAGACACAGGUACCAACACACACCAUGUCCCCACUAGACACAGGUACCAACACACACCAUGUCCCCACUAGACACAGGUAGGUACCAACACACACCAUGUCCCCACUAGACACAGGUAGGUACCAACACACACCAUGUCCCCACUAGACACAGGUAGGUACCAACACACACCAUGUCCCCGCUAGACACAGGUAGGUACCAACACACACCAUGUCCCCACUCGACACAGGUAGGUACCAACACACACCAUGUCCCCACUAGACACAGGUAGGUACCAACACACACCAUGUCCCCACUAGACACAGGUAGGUACCAACACACACCAUGUCCCCACUAGACACAGGUAGGUACCAACACACACCAUGUCCCCGCUAGACACAGGUACCAACACACACCAUGUCCCCACUAGACACAGGUACCAACACACACCAUGUCCCCUCUAGACACAGGUAGGUACCAGCACACACCAUGUCCCCACUAGACACAGGUACCAACACACAUCAUGUCCCCACUAGACACAGGUACCAACACACACCAUGUCCCCUCUAGACACAGGUAGGUACCAACACACACCAUGUCCCCACUAGACACAGGUAGGUACCAACACACACCAUGUCCCCACUAGACACAGGUAGGUACCAACACACACCAUGUCCCCACUAGACACAGGUACCAACACACACCAUGUCCCCACUAGACACAGGUACCAACACACACCAUGUCCCCACUAGACACAGGUACCAACACACACCAUGUCCCCACUAGACACAGGUACCAACACACACCAUGUCCCCAAUAGACACAGGUACCAACACACACCAUGUCCCCUCUAGACACAGGUAGGUACCAGCACACACCAUGUCCCCAAUAGACACAGGUACCAACACACACCAUGUCCCCUCUAGACACAGGUAGGUACCAGCACACACCAUGUCCCCAAUAGACACAGGUACCAACACACACCAUGUCCCCUCUAGACACAGGUAGGUACCAGCACACACCAUGUCCCCACUAGACACAGGUAGGUACCAACACACACCAUGUCCCCACUAGACACAGGUACCGACACACACCAUGUCCCCACUAGACACAGGUAGGUACCAACACACACCAUGUCCCCACUAGACACAGGUACCAACACACACCAUGUCCCCACUAGACACAGGUACCAACACACACCAUGUCCCCACUAGACACAGGUAGGUACCAACACACACCAUGUCCCCACUAGACACAGGUAGGUACCAACACACACCAUGUCCCCACUAGACACAGGUAGGUACCAACACACACCAUGUCCCCGCUAGACACAGGUAGGUACCAACACACACCAUGUCCCCACUCGACACAGGUAGGUACCAACACACACCAUGUCCCCACUCGACACAGGUAGGUACCAACACACACCAUGUCCCCACUAGACACAGGUACCGACACACACCAUGUCCCCACUAGACACAGGUACCAACACACACCAUGUCCCCACUAGACACAGGUACCAACACACACCAUGCCCCCUCUAGACACAGGUACCAACACACACCAUGUCCCCAUUAGACACAGGUACCAGCACACACCAUGUCCCCACUAGACACAGGUACCAACACACAUCAUGUCCCCACUAGACACAGGUACCAACACACACCAUGUCCCCACUAGACACAGGUAGGUACCAACACACACCAUGUCCCCACUAGACACAGGUACCAACACACACCAUGUCCCCACUAGACACAGGUACCAACACACACCAUAUCCCCACUCGACACAGGUAGGUACCAACACACACCAUGUCCCCACUAGACACAGGUACCGACACACACCAUGCCCCCUCUAGACACAGGUACCAACACACACCAUGUCCCCAUUAGACACAGGUACCAGCACACACCAUGUCCCCACUAGACACAGGUACCAACACACAUCAUGUCCCCACUAGACACAGGUACCAACACACACCAUGUCCCCACUAGACACAGGUACCAACACACACCAUGUCCCCACUAGACACAGGUAGGUACCAACACACACCAUGUCCCCACUAGACACAGGUACCAACACACACCAUGUCCCCACUAGACACAGGUACCAACACACACCAUAUCCCCACUCGACACAGGUAGGUACCAACACACACCAUGUCCCCACUAGACACAGGUACCGACACACACCAUGUCCCCACUAGACACAGGUAGGUACCAACACACACCAUGUCCCCACUAGACACAGGUACCAACACACACCAUGUCCCCACUAGACACAGGUACCAACACACACCAUGUCCCCACUAGACACAGGUAGGUACCAACACACACCAUGUCCCCACUAGACACAGGUAGGUACCAACACACACCAUGUCCCCACUAGACACAGGUAGGUACCAACACACACCAUGUCCCCGCUAGACACAGGUAGGUACCAACACACACCAUGUCCCCACUCGACACAGGUAGGUACCAACACACACCAUGUCCCCACUCGACACAGGUAGGUACCAACACACACCAUGUCCCCACUAGACACAGGUACCGACACACACCAUGUCCCCACUAGACACAGGUAGGUACCGACACACACCAUGUCCCCACUAGACACAGGUACCAACACACACCAUGUCCCCACUAGACACAGGUACCAACACACACCAUGCCCCCUCUAGACACAGGUACCAACACACACCAUGCCCCCACUAGACACAGGUACCAACACACACCAUGCCCCCUCUAGACACAGGUACCAACACACACCAUGUCCCCACUAGACACAGGUACCAACACACACCAUGUCCCCACUAGACACAGGUACCAACACACACC